CCUACGGGUGGCAGCAGUGGGGAAUAUUGCACAAUGGGGGAAACCCUGAUGCAGCGACGCCGCGUGAGCGAUGAAGUAUUUCGGUAUGUAAAGCUCUAUCAGCAGGGAAGAAAAUGACGGUACCUGACUAAGAAGCCCCGGCUAACUACGUGCCAGCAGCCGCGGUAAUACGUAGGGGGCAAGCGUUCUCCGGAUUUACUGGGUGUAAAGGGAGCGUAGACGGUUCUGCAAGCCAGAUGUGAAAGCCCGGGGCUCAACCCCGGGACUGCAUUUGGAACUGUAAGGCUAGAGUGUCGGAGAGGCAGGCGGAAUUCCUAGUGUAGCGGUGGAAUGCGUAGAUAUUAGGAGGAACACCAGUGGCGAAGGCGGCUUGCUGGACGGUGACUGACGUUGAGGCUCGAAAGCGUGGGGAGCGAACAGGAUUAGAUACCCCUGUAGUC
rnacentral:rRNA from 1 species